UACGUAGGGACCAAGCGUUGUCCGGAAUCAUUGGGCGUAAAGAGCGUGUAGGCGGCUUGUUAAGUCUUGCGUGAAAUCUCGGGGCUCAACCCCGAGCGGUCGUGAGAAACUGGCAGGCUAGAGUGCGGGAGAGGAGAGUGGAAUUCCUGGUGUAGCGGUGAAAUGCGCAGAUAUCAGGAAGAACACCGGUGGCGAAGGCGGGUCUCUGGGCCGUAACUGACGCUGAGGAGCGAAAGCGUGGGGAGCGAACAGG
rnacentral:rRNA from 1 species